GAUGAACGCUGGCGGCGUGCCUAAUACAUGCAAGUCGAGCGAACAGACGAGGAGCUUGCUCCUCUGACGUUAGCGGCGGACGGGUGAGUAACACGUGUAUAACCUACCUAUAAGACUGGGAUAACUUCGGGAAACCGGAGCUAAUACCGGAUAAUAUAUUGAACCGCAUGGUUCAAUAGUGAAAGACGGUUUUGCUGUCACUUAUAGAUGGAUCCGCGCCGCAUUAGCUAGUUGGUAAGGUAACGGCUUACCAAGGCAACGAUGCGUAGCCGACCUGAGAGGGUGGUCGGCCAGCCUGGAACUGAGACACGGUCCCGACUCCGACGGGGGGCAGCAGUAGGGAAUCUUCCGCAAUGGGCGAAAGCCUGACGGAGCAACGCCGCGGGAGUGAUGAAGGUCUUCGGAUCGUAAAACUAUGUUAGUAGGGAAGAACAAAUGUGUAAGUAACUAUGCACGUCUUGACGGUACCUAAUCAGAAAGCCACGGCUAACUACGUG
rnacentral:rRNA from 1 species